rnacentral:rRNA from 1 species
GACGAACGCUGGCGGCGUGCUUAACACAUGCAAGUCGAACGGAAAGGCCCUGCUUGCAGGGUACUCGAGUGGCGAACGGGUGAGUAACACGUGGGUGAUCUGCCCUGCACUUCGGGAUAAGCCUGGGAAACUGGGUCUAAUACCGGAUAGGAGCCAUUUUUAGUGUGAUGGUUGGAAAGUUUUUUCGGUGUAGGAUGAGCUCGCGGCCUAUCAGCUUGUUGGUGGGGUAAUGGCCUACCAAGGCGGCGACGGGUAGCCGGCCUGAGAGGGUGGACGGCCACAUUGGGACUGAGAUACGGCCCAGACUCCUACGGGAGGCAGCAGUGGGGAAUAUUGCACAAUGGGCGCAAGCCUGAUGCAGCGACGCCGCGGGGGGGAUGACGGCCUUCGGGUUGUAAACUCCUUUCGCUGGGGACGAAGCUUUUUGUGACGGUACCUAGAUAAGAAGCACCGGCUAACUACGUG